rnacentral:rRNA from 1 species
UACGUAGGGGGCAAGCGUUUGUCCGGAUUUAUUGGGCGUAAAGAGCGUGUAGGCGGCCAGGUAGGUCUGCUGUGAAAACUCGAGGCUUAACCUCGAGCUGUCGGCGGAAACCAUCUGGCUAGAGUCCGGAAGAGGAGAGUGGAAUUCCCGGUGUAGCGGUGAAAUGCGCAGAUAUCGGGAAGAACACCCGUGGCGAAGGCGGCUCUCUGGGACGGUACUGACGCGUGAGACGCG